rnacentral:rRNA from 1 species
AACUGAGUAAGGUAGGCGUAGCGAAGCGAGUCUUAAGUAGGGCGAAAGUUGCUGGGUAGUAGACCCGAAACCAGAUGAUCUACUCAUGGCCAGGAUGAAGCGAAGGUAACACUUCUUGGAGGUCCGAACCCACUAAUGUUAGAAAAAUUAGGGGAUGAGCUGUGGGUAGGGGUGAAAGGCUAAACAAAUCUGGAGAUAGCUGGUUCUCUCCGAAAACUAUUUAGGUAGUGCCUCAUAUAUCGUCUUUAGGGGUAGAGCUCUGUUAUGGCUAGGGGAUCGACUAGAUUUACCAAACCAUUGCAAACUUCGAAUACUAAAGAACGUCAGUAUGGGAGACAGACAUUGGGUGCUAACGUCCAGUGUCGAAAGGGAAACAACCCAGACCCUCAGCUAAGGUCCCAAAGAUAUAAUUAAGUGGUAAACGAAGUGGAAAGGCAUAAACAGUCAGGAGAUUGGCUUAGAAGCAGCCAUUCUUUAAAGAAAGCGUAAUAGCUCACUGAUCGAGUCUUUCUGCGCGGAAGAUGUAACGGGGC